AAGAUCUUCCAGAAAAAGCAGAACUUUUGCCCAGACAGGGCAAGUGUGUCACAAAGUUCUGCUUUCACUGUGUGUUAAGUGGAAAUGAUUAGGCAAGUGAGUAGUUAGAGAUUCCUCUCUGUGUUUCCUCCGUAUUGGGAGGUCCCGCCGUGGAUGGCUGCGUACUCAGACUGACUGUGCAAACUGUGAUGAUUUGCACUGAUAACCCCUGAGUGCUUCACUUAUCUGUCAUCAUGGCUUAUCCACAUAGAAUGUUGCUGAAGGGGCCACUUCCUGGACACAGACAUGAGCAAACAGAGCAAAUGUUCUCAGCUCUCCCAGAGUUAUGUGGAGUUUAGAGGGAGCUGUGUAGAUGCUUCUCACACAUACAGACUCCCCAGGGAUUGGAUGAACAUCAGCUGAAGGCCACUAGCAGUAAUGGACAGUGCACCUGAAGCUUUGUGUUGGCUGCAAGGCAAGGAGGCUCCAGCAGCUCAGGAAUGAAGACUAACCCAUUUCCUGAAUUCAUCACGAGAUGAUGCUCUGAGCUCUGAGCUCCCCAUGCAUGUGAAGCGUCUCCACCAGGUGCCAGCACAUUACUAAGACUCUGAAGGAGAAAGCUAACCUUUUACCCUAGCUGUUCAGAAUCCUGGCAAUGCAAUAAUCUGGCCCAAUAAAAGUGGCAAUCAGACUCUGCCUACUUGGAAAAUGAAGUCUAUUUAAGUAACUCCCAGAAGGAAUUUUUGAAAAAGGACUUUCCACAAGUUUGAACACAGAAAGGAUAAAAUAAAAUAUUUCAUCUGUUGUCUUUCUGUGGAAGACACUCCAUUUCCAGCACAGAACUUUACUUAGCCACACUUGAAAAGCCAAGUGGCUUCUUCUGGGGUUUUGUUCUUCUUACUGCAGGGUUUUAUCAUGUUGAAGAGUCUGGAACAUGGGUUCUGCGAAGGCUCUGCAUGGCAGUUAGGCAUGCUGGCUUAGGGUCUAGAUCCAGGGACUUGCGAUCUGGGACAGUUAUUCAGUAGCAUCUCAGGCCAUGACA